AUGCAUAGGGGCACCCGUGUCUCCGCCCAAGAAAGGGGUACAGGACCAGAUUGCCGAAGCAGGCGCCCGCGCGGCAGCCCCGCACGGAUCGGACGCAUGCAUCGGGUCACGAACGUUCCCAGGAAACAUCAAGAAUAUUUUGAUAUGUUCAGCGAUUGGGCAAAUAUCUUAUAUACGGAAGAAAUAGAUCGCGCAGAAUCAUCCAUUGAGAUCUUGUCGCCAUUGCUCGCCGAGGACCAUGUACGGCCCCGACUUACCACCGUCGAGGUACCACCACCAGGCAGACCCGCCGCCUCCGCCCAACGGGUCCAAGGCGCUGAGCCUCCUGCUCCGCCUGUGCGCGAUGCUGCUGCCGUCGUGUCGGCUGUGGUGAUGGCCGCGUCCAGCGAGUGCGCCGCCCACGCGCCGUCGGACGACUCCGGCGCCGCCGCACCCGUCGUCACCUUCACAUAUAACCGGUUCGGCGCCUUCGUGCUCCUGGUCGGGUGCAACAUCACGGCCGCCAUCCUGGAGGCGCUGGCGGUGUACCUGCACGUCAGCCUCGACGUGGCCGCCGUCACCGCCGCCGCUGCGGCCGACGAGAAGGAUAGUCUGGACGAGGAAGAGGCGCCGGCCGGGGUCAACAUCCCCGCCAUCGUGCUGGUAGUCGUGGACCUGCUGGUGCACGCGUUGCUCUACUCGGCGACGGCGGCAGCCUACACGGCCGCGGCCGCGUACGCCGCGCAGAUCGGCGCCUGCGCGCGGUUCGCCUGGCAGGUGGAGCGGGCCAAGAUCCUGUCGCUGGCUGCUUCCAUCGCCGUCACCCUUGCCGCCGUGGCCAAGGACGUGCCGCUGCCGUUCAACGUCCCGCCCGUUCUAGGUUGA
rnacentral:rRNA from 1 species